rnacentral:lncRNA from 1 species
GUUGAAUUUAAACUGAGAUGUGGCAUGGUUUGAAGCAUAGUCACUUCAAAAGUGCUGUCCUAAUCAGAGCUUCUUACAGUAACUUAAAUGAAGCUUGAUCAAGCCAAACCUAAGCCAAACCCUGCUCUCAGUUCCACCAGAGAAAAUGCCAGUGUCACAUGGCUGUGCUGUCAGAAUGCUUCAUCACAGCUAACAAACCCCAAGGAACACCUCUGAGUUACCAUGCACCUGGGGAGCAGCAGCACACAGCCAACUCUGCCUGCCUUGGUCAACCCUGUCUCCUCUGCUUCACAUGGUCAGGUGCUGCACAUGUGCUUUGCACCUGUAGAUAAAUCAAGAUUUCUCUAGUCAUUCUACUUAGGGAAUUACUUCGAUCUGCUUAAAUAUCUUACAUACUGAAUACUGACAUCACAAUAAACAGUCCACUAGAACAAGUGUUCUGUCUCUCACAACAGAGGAGCAGUGAGAGAAACACUGGAUAAGCAAAGACAUGUAAAGCUGUUCUUUUGCUCGAAGUGGAUGCUAGCUGUUCAGCAAUAUAUGACAAAUGUCUCCAGAACACUGAGAAAUAAACCUGCACUCUCAUGAAUGGUACAGCAAAUCCCAGACACUACAGUGUUAAUUCUGCAGGCGGUGAUACUGACUUGCAUGUUCAGCCUGUCCACAUCAGAAGAUCUAUCACCAGUAACUGUCACAGGGAGAAGCCUACUCUGCUAAAAACAAUCAAGCAUCAAUGGAGGUAUCUAUCAUUUAAUACUAUGACUGCGCUCAAAGUACUCUAAUAAAGCAUACAUGUAUUCUGACCAAGAAAAGUGAAGUCAGUGGUCACAAACUGCACAUGAUAAAACUGGAAUUCAGAAAUUGAAGGACUGAGCAGACCACUAAAAUGAUGUUGCUACUUCACAGCCUUGCUAUUCUGUAAAACAGGAGAGGUGUAAGUACUUUCAUCAGAAAGACUAUGUAAAGUUAUUUUUAAAUAACAUGCAGAAAACAACAGCAGUUGUCCCAAGCUAGGCAUGCUUUGUUUUAUUUAUUUUAUUUACUUGCGUCUGCUUACUGUAUCACAUUUCUUUUGGGCUUUUGCCCAGAUUUUAAAAUGUCUAUACUUAAAAUUACAUUUUUAAAUGCACAAGCCAAGACUAAGGGAGCUGUUUUCAUUUUUUCUCCUAAAAUGACAAUAUAAUAUCAAGCGCCUACUUCAGAAAAUCUUUCUCUUCAAAGGCCUGUUGAAUGAAUCAUCAGCAAAUGCACGCAAGUCUUGGAGAGAUCAACAAGCAUUUGUCACUGUAAUCCAAAAAGAAAUCUCUCUAUGCAUAGGUUACUAAUUUUCU